rnacentral:lncRNA from 1 species
CUCCGAGGAUCAGCACAAGAAAUAGAUAGAUGCAACAAUUGUACGUGAUGCUACGUGUUUGCAAAUUGUUGGUCAUAGUCGCAAGAAGAAAUUGAAAUCGGUAUUUUAAAACUAAUAAUUUAUGCAUUUGAAGAUGUUGGGCUUGUAUACUAGCAUUCAAAUUUCUAAUCUUGUAAGAAGAAAGGUGACGCAAGGAUUCUCCGCAACACUUCAAAUUUCCAAAUUGUCGGUCAUAGUUGCAAGAAGAAAUUGAAAUUGAAAGGAAACGCAAGGCGAGAACACGUAUUUGAAUGCAAUGAACUUCAAGGUGGUCUGGGCAACCUAGAAAUAGGAAAAAGG